rnacentral:rRNA from 1 species
CGUACACUCCUGCGGGAGGCAGCAGUGGGGAAUAUUGCACAAUGGGCGCAAGCCUGAUGCAGCCAUGCCGCGUGUAUGAAGAAGGCCUUCGGGUUGUAAAGUACUUUCAGCGGGGAGGAAGGCAAUACGGUUAAUAACCGUGUUGAUUGACGUUACCCGCAGAAGAAGCACCGGCUAACUCCGUGCCAGCAGCCGCGGUAAUACGGAGGGUGCAAGCGUUAAUCGGAAUUACUAGGCGUAAAGCGCACGCAGGCGGUCUGUCAAGUCGGAUGUGAAAUCCCCGGGCUCAACCUGGGAACUGCAUUCGAAACUGGCAGGCUUGAGUCUUGUAGAGGGGGGUAGAAUUCCAGGUGUAGCGGUGAAAUGCGUAGAGAUCUGGAGGAAUACCGGUGGCGAAGGCGGCCCCCUGGACAAAGACUGACGCUCAGGUGCGAAAGCGUGGGGAGCAAACAGGAUUAGAUACCCGUGUAGUCC